rnacentral:sRNA from 1 species
UGAAUCGAAAGAGAUAAUUGCAAUAGAGAAUAAGUUCGAUUUGUUGUUUGAAAGAAAAGAGAGAUGAAAGAAACGGAAACAUAGUCGAUCAAUUAUUUAUCAGAGGCUGUACAUGGCCCCAAAACAUAAACCACCAAAGUACUAGAUGAAACGAUACAUGAACUUGGUUCAGUAACCAUAAGAGAGAGAGACAAGGUUUAGAAACCACCACGGAGACGGAGGACCAAGUGAAGAGUAGACUCCUUCUGGAUGUUGUAGUCGGCCAAAGUACGUCCAUCCUCAAGCUGCUUUCCAGCGAAGAUGAGACGCUGCUGGUCCGGAGGAAUGCCUUCCUUGUCCUGGAUCUUAGCCUUCACGUUAUCAAUGGUGUCGGAGCUCUCAACUUCAAGAGUGAUGGUCUUUCCGGUCAAAGUCUUUACGAAGAUCUGCAUACCUCCACGCAGACGCAAGACCAAAUGAAGCGUAGACUCCUUCUGGAUGUUGUAAUCCGCCAAAGUUCUGCCGUCCUCAAGUUGCUUUCCGGCGAAGAUCAACCUCUGCUGGUCCGGAGGAAUACCCUCCUUAUCUUGGAUCUUGGCCUUGACGUUGUCAAUGGUGUCAGAGCUCUCCACCUCAAGAGUAAUCGUCUUUCCCGUUAGGGUUUUAACGAAAAUCUGCAUACCACCACGGAGCCUGAGAACCAAGUGGAGGGUGGAUUCCUUCUGGAUAUUGUAAUCCGCCAACGUGCGGCCAUCCUCCAACUGCUUUCCGGCGAAGAUAAGCCUCUGCUGAUCCGGAGGAAUACCUUCCUUAUCCUGGAUCUUGGCCUUAACGUUGUCGAUGGUGUCAGAGCUUUCCACCUCGAGGGUGAUAGUCUUUCCGGUGAGAGUCUUAACGAAGAUCUGCAUCUGUUAAUCAGAAAAACCGAGAUUAAUCGACAAAUUCGAUCGCACAAACAAGAAACUAACACCAAAUCUAGAUAAAAAUCACAGAUCAAAGCGUAAAUAAUCGAGAACACACAAAUUCUUUCAACAAAUCGGAUCAAAUACAAGGAAACAACAAGAAAAUAAACAGAUCUGCGAAAAAUACGAACCCUAAUCGAGAAAUAAGAAGAGAUCUAACGAUGAAACUAUGUAAUUUGCCUCCGAUCAGAGAUUAACGAGAUCAAAAUCAAAGAACAGAGCCUAAAUUGCGAUCGAACGAAACAAAUCGAAGAAAUACAAUAAGAACUCAGAAAUCUACCUUGAUCACGGUUGAGAGAUUUGAGAGAUUGAUUUUAGAGUUUGAGAAAAUUGGAAUCUGAA